GAUGAACGCUGGCGGCGUGCCUAACACAUGCAAGUCGAACGGAGUUGUUCCUUCGGGGACAACUUAGUGGCGAACGGGUGAGUAACGCGUGAGAAACCUGCCUUUCAGUGGGGGACAACAGUUGGAAACGACUGCUAAUACCGCAUAAUGUAUCGAUGGGGCAUCCCAAUGAUACCAAAGAUUUAUUGCUGAAAGAUGGUCUCGCGUCUGAUUAGCUAGUUGGUGAGGUAACGGCUCACCAAGGCGACGAUCAGUAGCCGGUCUGAGAGGAUGAACGGCCACAUUGGGACUGAGAUACGGCCCAGACUCCUACGGGAGGCAGCAGUGGGGAAUAUUGGGCAAUGGGGGAAACCCUGACCCAGCAACGCCGCGUGAAGGAAGAAGGCCUUCGGGUUGUAAACUUCUUUUACCAGGGACGAAGAACGUGACGGUACCUGGAGAAAAGCAACGGCUAACUACGUG
rnacentral:rRNA from 1 species